CCAAAGUGUCCCCAGAUGUCCCCAAGAGUCCCCGAGUGUCCCCAAAUGUCCCCAUGUGUCCCAGUGACCACGGAGAACCAUGGUGGACCUCCAUGAGCACGUCCAUACCAAGCCACCACCCCUCCACCUCCACAUCCCCUCAAUANNNNNNNNNNNNNNNNNNNNNNNNNNNNNNNNNNNNNNNNNNNUGAGUCGGGAUUGGGGGGUGUUUGGGGAUUUGGGGGGGCUGGUGGCUUGGGGACACCCCAGUUUGGGGACCCAGAGACACAGGGAUUUGGGGACACCCCGAUUUGGGGGACAGAGACACCCAGGGAUUAGGGGACACCCCGAUUUUGGGGGACCCAGGUGUCCCAGUUGACUUUGGGACACCCCAAUUUGGACACCCAAGUGUCUGGAGAUAUGGGGACACCCCGAUUUGGGGGACCCUGACACCCAGGGAUUUGGGGACACCCCGAUUUGGGGGACAGAGACACCCAGGGAUUAGGGGACAUCCUGAUUUUGGGGGAUCCAGGGAGAAGGUGGCUUGGGGACACCCCAAUUUUGGGCACCCAGAGACCCAGGGAUUUGGGGACACCCCGAUUUUGGGGGAUCCAAGGGGACAGGGUGGACUUGGGGACACCCCAAUUUGGGCACCCAGAGACCCAGAGAUUUGGGGACACCCCAAUUUGGGGGACUCAAACACCCAGGGAUUUGGGGACAUCCUGAUUUUGGGGGAUCCAGGGAGAAGGUGGCUUGGGGACACCCCAAUUUUGGGCACCCAGAGACCCAGGGAUUUGGGGACACCCCAAUUUGGGAACCCAGACUCUCAGCGAUUUGGGGACAUCCCAAUUUAGGGGACUCAGAAACACAGGGAUUUGGGGACACCCAGAUUUUGGGGGACCCAGGUGCCCAGGUGGCUUGGGGACACCCCAAUUUUGGGGAUUCAACAACCCAGGGAUUAGGGGACACCCCGAUUUUGGGGGACACGGGUGUCCAGGUGGCUUGGGGACACUCCAGUUUGGGGACCCAGAGAUACAGGGAUUUGGGGAUAUCCCAAUUUUGGGGACCCAAGGAUCUCAGCUGGCGUGGGGACACCCCAAUUUGGGCACCCAGAGACCCAGGGAUUUG
rnacentral:lncRNA from 1 species